rnacentral:rRNA from 1 species
CAGUAGCCGCGGUAAUACGUAGGUGGCAAGCGUUGUCCGGAAUUAUUGGGCGUAAAGGGCUCGCAGGCGGUUUCUUAAGUCUGAUGUGAAAGCCCCCGGCUCAACCGGGGAGGGUCAUUGGAAACUGGGAAACUUGAGUGCAGAAGAGGAGAGUGGAAUUCCACGUGUAGCGGUGAAAUGCGUAGAGAUGUGGAGGAACACCAGUGGCGAAGGCGACUCUCUGGUCUGUAACUGACGCUGAGGAGCGAAAGCGUGGGGAGCAAACAGGAUUAGAGACCCCAGUAGUCCCUGUCUCUUAUAC